rnacentral:rRNA from 1 species
AGCGGCGGACGGGUGAGUAAUGCUUGGGAAUCUGCCCAAUAGUGGGGGAUAACGUGUGGAAACGCACGCUAAUACCGCGUACGUCCUACGGGAGAAAGCAGGGGAUCUUCGGACCUUGCGCUAUUGGAUGAGCCCAAGUCAGAUUAGCUAGUUGGUGGGGUAAUGGCUCACCAAGGCGACGAUCUGUAGCUGGUCUGAGAGGAUGAUCAGCCACACUGGGACUGAGACACGGCCCAGACUCCUACGGGAGGCAGCAGUGGGGAAUAUUGCACAAUGGGCGAAAGCCUGAUGCAGCCAUGCCGCGUGUGUGAAGAAGGCUCUAGGGUCGUAAAGCACUUUCAGUAGGGAGGAAAAGCUUAAGAUUAAUAAUCUUGAGCCUUGACGUUACUUACAGAAGAAGCACCGGCAAACUCCGUGCCAGCAGCCGCGGUAAUACGGAGGGUGCGAGCGUUAAUCGGAAUUACUGGGCGUAAAGCGCGCGUAGGUGGUUUGAUAAGCUAGCUGUGAAAGCCCCGGGCUCAACCUGGGAACUGCAGUUAGAACUGUCUGGCUAGAGUAUAGUAGAGGGUGGCGGAAUUUCCUGUGUAGCGGUGAAAUGCGUAGAUAUAGGAGGAUCAUCAGUGGCGAAGGCGGCCACCUGGACUAUACUGACACUGAAGUGCCGAAGCGUGGGAGCAAACAGGAUUAGAUACCCUGGUUGUCAACGGAG